GUCUCUAGAAAGAGCGAGGUUGAGUUACAGCCCUGAGGAGGGUGGUUGCAGGUUCGGCUUCCGCCUUUGUACCUCUAGCCGCAUCUGUCUUUUUUCUCAUUUUGCGCUUCUUGUGUGAGGAAGACGUCGUAACUGUGUAGGGGAGGUUUCUGCGCCCCGGGGCGCUCGGGAGGAGACGGAAGAAGCGACUUUUCCUGCAGGGUAGCUAUGCUCGCCCGCGGAGGGCCCGCGGCCACAAAUCGCCGCCGGGAAGGUGUGGUUUCUGGUUUCGAGUCCGCCGCCCCCUUCAGAAGUAGCGCCAGAGGGGCGAGGGCGUCGUCUACGGUUCCAGCCAGGCACUUACUUUCCUAGUUCGGGACCCGGCUUGGUCUGACCGUCUUUACCCUGCUGGAUGAUGAGGAAACUGAGGCACAGCGAGUUUAAAUACCUUUCUCAAAGUGAUGGGGCUUUGGUCUGAAGUCUUGCUGUAAAGGCCAUGUUCUUAACCAGUAGGCAUUGUCUGUGACAACUCUCCAUGUAUUCCAACAGGAUGGGGAUUUGGAUCAGAACAGACACUGUCAUUAGAUUUAGGGUCACCCUAACACAGAUGACCUCAUCUCCAGAUCCUCAACUAUAUCUGAAAAGACUCUUUCCCAGGAGAUGACCAAGGCCCCAUAUGGACGGGGGCAAACAGCAGCCAUGUGAAUGGGGUUCUGGGGAGAAUGAGGACCCUGGAAGCACCAGGAAAGGAUCCAGGCCUGGCUUCAUCAGGAGCAGGAGGCCCUGAGAAUCAACAUGUGCUGCCCUGAAGACUAACCAGGAGGAUUUGGGAGGGGCCGCUAGAAGGAAGGAGAUGACCAGCCUCCCAGGAUCCUUGGUGCCGGAGUCCAUCUUGGCUGAGAGAGCUAAACCCCCAACAAAUGGAAAACUGGAGAGGAGGACCACCAGCACCAGUCCUGGGGCUGCCGAACACCAACUUUGAAGAAGAAUGCAAGCUUGCAUCUACCCUGAUCCUUACCUGUGGCCCUAUUUUCUACUGCCACACUGUGUAAAAUCCCUUCCUGAUCUCUCCCAAGGUGGGGCACAGUCUUUAGGGCAUUAGCCUGCUGUGGCCUCCUUUGCUUGGCAAAGCAAUAAAGCUAUUUUUUUUCUCUUUCAC
rnacentral:lncRNA from 1 species